rnacentral:tRNA from 1 species
CAGUAAGUUGAAGCUUUAAACCUACGGACUGAAAAUCCGUGUGUCGGUGGUUCAAUUCCACCUCUGGCCA